rnacentral:rRNA from 1 species
CCUACGGGAGGCAGCAGUGGGGAAUUUUGGACAAUGGGCGAAAGCCUGAUCCAGCAAUGCCGCGUGUGGGAAGAAGGCCUUCGGGUUGUAAACCACUUUUGUACGGAACGAAACGGCUCGCUUUAAUACAGUGGGCUAAUGACGGUACCGUAAGAAUAAGCACCGGCUAACUACGUGCCAGCAGCCGCGGUAAUACGUAGGGUGCGAGCGUUAAUCGGAAUUACUGGGCGUAAAGCGUGCGCAGGCGGUUAUAUAAGACAGUUGUGAAAUCCCCGGGCUCAACCUGGGAAUUGCAUCUGUGACUGUAUAGCUAGAGUACGGUAGAGGGGGAUGGAAUUCCGCGUGUAGCAGUGAAAUGCGUAGAUAUGCGGAGGAACACCGAUGGCGAAGGCAAUCCCCUGGACCUGUACUGACGCUCAUGCACGAAAGCGUGGGGAGGCAAACAGGAUUAGAUACCCUGGUAGCCCACGCCCUAAACCGAUGUCAACUGGUUGUUGGGUGCAUUAGUACUCAGUACGAAGCUAACGCGUGAAGUUGACCGCCUGGGGAGUACGGCCGCAAGGUUGAAACUCAAAGGAAUUGACGGCUGAGCGNGCGAGCGACGACGAGGGAGGAGG